CCUCCUCUAUCACCACAUGCAUCAUGCAUUAUUAGUAUUCUAGUGGUUACUUUGGAGAUCGUAGCGUGUACCCUAACUCACUGCAGCCCAACACAAA